rnacentral:rRNA from 1 species
CGGAGGGUGCAAGCGUUAUCCGGAUUCACUGGGUUUAAAGGGUGCGUAGGCGGGCAGGUAAGUCCGUGGUGAAAUCUCUGAGCUUAACUCAGAAACUGCCAUGGAUACUAUUUGUCUUGAAUAUUGUGGAGGUAAGCGGAAUAUGUCAUGUAGCGGUGAAAUGCUUAGAUAUGACAUAGAACACCAAUUGCGAAGGCAGCUUGCUACACAGUUAUUGACGCUGAGGCACGAAAGCGUGGGGAUCAAACAGGAUUAGAUACCCUGGUAGUCCACGCCCUAAACGAUGAUUACUCGACAUCAGCGAUACACUGUUGGUGUCUGAGCGAAAGCAUAAAGUAAUCCACCUGGGAAGUACGACCGCAAGGUUG